rnacentral:rRNA from 1 species
UGUACACACCGCCCGUCAAGCCAUGGAAGCUGGGGGUACCUGAAGUCGGUGACCGCAAGGAGCUGCCUAGGGUAAAACUGGUAACUAGGGCUAAGUCGUAACAAGGUAGCCGUACCGGAAGG